rnacentral:rRNA from 1 species
CCUACGGGGGGCUGCAGUGGGGAAUAUUGGACAAUGGGGGGAACCCUGAUCCAGCCAUGCCGCGUGUGUGAAGAAGGCCCUCGGGUUGUAAAGCACUUUCAGUGAGGAAGAACGCCUGGUGGUUAAUACCCAUCAGGAAAGACAUCACUCACAGAAGAAGCACCGGCUAACUCCGUGCCAGCAGCCGCGGUAAUACGGUGGGUGCGAGCGUUAAUCGGAAUUACUGGGCGUAAAGCGCGCGUAGGUGGCUUGAUAAGCCGGUUGUGAAAGCCCCGGGCUCAACCUGGGAACGGCAUCCGGAACUGUCAAGCUAGAGUGCAGGAGAGGAAGGUAGAAUUCCCGGUGUAGCGGUGAAAUGCGUAGAGAUCGGGAGGAAUACCAGUGGCGAAGGCGGCCUUCUGGACUGACACUGACACUGAGGUGCGAAAGCGUGGGUAGCAAACAGGAUUAGAUACCCGGGUAGUC